rnacentral:lncRNA from 1 species
CUCCAGGGCUUCGGCCAAUAGGGAGGGCAGCCUGAGCCUCAGUUCCGGGUCCAGGUGCCGCCAUCUUCCCCCCGACAGGCGGCGGCGGAGGAGAACGGCGGCCAGCUGGCGCAGCUGCGGCCGCGCCGCGCCCACCACGAUCUCCGCGAGCCGCUCCGGGGUGCGGGGGUCGGCGAAGGCCUCACGCAGACGGGCGGUGGCCUGCUGUAUAACGGCGUUAUCCGGUUCCAGGAGCUGCUCCAGCACCGCCUGCAGCUCGGGGGCCGCCAUCUUGGAAAGAGGGCGUUUCCGGCGGAGGCGGAAGUUAAUAAAGCGGAAUACGCCGCAGAGCAGCGAAUACUGCGGCAUGAUUGGCUCGCUCAACCGGAAGUCCUUCCUUCUUAAAAGGGCAAUGGCAGGAUUACUUCGGGAUUUAAAAGGGCCACGGAGCACGCGGGCCCACCGCUGGGGUUUAAAUGAGAACAGCUCCGGGAUCCUUCUUAAAACGGCAACGCCCCAACGGUGACCCCACACUUUCCUUAAAAGGGCAACACCACUGAGUGCCACCACACGAGUUUCUGUCACACCAUCACCACCAUCAGCUCAGCCUCCCCUCCCCAGUGACGAAACGACACCCAUGACAUCACACAGACGCUUUAAUUCGUGGGGAUACAUGCAAACAGGAGGACUUUUAGGGGGAGAGAACGUGGGGGUGGGGAGGGGGAGUCAAUAGGGGCUAACACCAGGUGCAGCACGGAGCCACCCUGGAUCUUGUAGUCGGCCGCCGUCUUCUCGUCGUUCAUCUGCUUCCCGCUGUAGAUGAGCCGCUGCUGCUGGGGGGGGAUCCCCUCCUUCUCCUCCACGCGCUCCUUGAUGCGCUCCACCUUGUCGGUGGGUUCGAUGUCGAUCUCGAUCUCUUUCCCGGUCAGCGUCUUCACUUUGAUCAGCAUCGUGCCUCUGUGCCCGGCGCGCCGGAAGCGGAAGUGCGCGCAAGCCACGCCCACCCCGCUGCGCACCACUUCCUGCU